UACGUAGGGGGCGAGCGUUGUCCGGAUUCAUUGGGCGUAAAGCGCGCGUAGGCGGCCCCGCAAGUCGGCCGUGAAAUCUCCGGGCUCAACUCGGAGGGGUCGGGCGAGACUGCGGGGCUCGAGGUGGGCAGAGGGCAGUGGAAUUCCGGGUGUAGUGGUGGAAUGCGUAGAGAUCCGGAGGAACACCAGUGGCGAAGGCGGCUGCCUGGGCCUGGCCUGACGCUGAGGCGCGAAAGCUAGGGGAGCGAAUGGG
rnacentral:rRNA from 1 species